rnacentral:lncRNA from 1 species
CCCAAACAUGGAAAUGGUGAAGGCUGGGCUUCUUUCCUGACCAUAGCUCAUAAGGUGUCUUAAACACAGACUUACUAGGCACUUGAUUCAAAAUAUAUGCCGCAGUCCUUAAGGCUUCACCCCACAAAAAUUCUGGUAAGGAGGAAUUAGACAACAUGCACCUCACCAUAUCCAACAAUGUGCGAUUCCUCCUUUCUGCAACCCCAUUCUGUUGAGGAGUGUCUGACAUUGUAUAUCUAGCAUCAAUGCCGCAUUCCAACAGAAACUUAGCGAAUGGUCCAGGAUUCCGUCCAGUCUCAUCAUAUCUCCCAUAAUACUCGUCAUCUCUAACCAAUCUCUCUAAUCUUUGCCUAGAAAUAUGACCUAGGCGUUUGUGCCACAAUAUGGAAGAACUCAAAUUUACUUGGCUUAUCAACUCUCAAAGCCCAGUCCAAAAUGUGCAUAGCCAUAUGCACAUUGAAAGACUCAAAACAUUCCUCAAAAUUAUUCCAGUAAGAGGUUUGAUGGCAGACAAUUGCAGAGUAAUACCAGGAUUGCUAGUAGCUGGAAAAUAGCAAAUUAAGCAAUAUGCAUGUUACUACAAAAUCAUGCAUUUGCUAGUUUCCAGAAUUUCUCAAUUUAGCAACAGCUUGGAAUUUUGAAAAUUCCACGGCGGUAAGGACAACCAAUUAAAUAUCACAACCAAGAUGCACUAAUUUUAUUACCGAAAGGGCAAAGAAAAUUAGUACGAUUCAUAAUAUAAAAUAAAUUUCCUUCACCAAUCCAAACAUCCUACCAAAUAUUAUAAUCAUCGAUAGGACAAUCACAAUACCCGUAUGGACCUUAGUUAUCACAAUAAUAAAACAAUCAAAAGAGGGAGAUAAAAUAUCUCAACAAAGACAAUUUGACACAUAUAGGAUCACGAUAGGCAACCACACAUAUGUUCACUAUUAUCAUGUAUAAAAUUAAAAAUAUCUUAAUUUUCACAAUUUGACACACUUGGAAUUGCGAUAGGCAAUCACACAAGUGUGCUUCAUUGCCUCAAUAAAUUGAAAUAUUUAACAAAAUUGACAUAGGACAACAUUAUUGAUAUAAGGAAAAAUUAUACCAUAAAGAACAAUAAUAAUAAUAAUUGUCCCAAUAAAGUCAAAUUUAACAAAUGCAUAAUAAUUCUAGCAUAUGCACAAUCAAUCCAAUAAUACCAAGGCAACAAACAAACAAAAAAAAAAAAUUGUUUUUUUUUUUUUUUUUUUUUUGACAUCAUCACGUCACUAUUCAUCUCCUUCCCCAGCUGAACACGGCCUGGUGCAAGAGAAAAAUUUUUUUUCCUUUGUUCGGCCAAAAUUUUGGGCAUUUUCCGACAAAAAACGCUUAGAUUUCCAUCCUCAAACAUCAAGCCUUCAAUCUAAUCCCAAAAUUUGCACAAAAAACGCAUAAUAGGAAGAACCAAAGCAAGCUCUAAUUCUCGAAAUCCCACCAAACAAGCUCAAAAAUCAAAUAAAAUGAUGGGUUUUGCUCCAAACAAUAUUCUCUACAAGUUUCCAACAACAAUCGGGCUUGAAAACAGAGAAUCAACAUCAAACGAGAAAUAAAAUUUCAAAAAAAAUGGUUUCCACAACAGGAAACGGAAAACCCAAAAAUAACCCAAAAUUGCAGCUCAAAUGUCAUCCAUGCUAGCUCUGAUACCAAUUGAAGAAAAUUUAAACAGCAUAGGAUCACAUGUUGACAUUUAAGCAUGCAUUGAACGGCAAAAACGGAAACGCUCACCUUGGUUAAUUCCGUGAAAAGCCAUUUCUUGCUCUUUUCUGGUAUUCAAGAAGCUCCUCCAGUGCUUGAUGGUGCGAGAAUUACGGGUUAAUGAGCUCUUUCCUUCUACACCCAGAUUUAGUCCAAAACGAGAGUGCGCGCUCUCUUUCAGCCAAAGGAGGAAGGAGCAAGGGGCCAAGCCUUUUGAGAAAAGCCCCUUUUUAUUCUUUUAUAUAUAUAUCACACACAUUAUUUGGACCACCACUUGACUUAAUGGGCCAGUCAAGUGAAUUAGGGUGAGCUCAUAAAAAAUCAAGCAACAAUAUGUGUCCAGUCCCAUUAUGGACCAUAAUGCAAAAAUAAAUAACACUGAUUUAUGACAUUAUUAAAUUGAUUAUAUAAGUCCACACAUAAAAAUUCCAACAGGAACGUGUUCAUAAUUAAAAGAGAAAAGAAAAUGAUAAAAGACGACCCUCGUUUUAUUCACCUCUAUUUUAAGGAGAGGUUUUGUACGUCUCUGCUUAUAGGUUCAGAGAAUCCCACAUCACAAGGAGAUCACAUCGAUAGCAGCCAACACUAAUAGAAUUGAGAAGGAAGGCGUGGGGUGAGGAUGACUUCCAGAGGAGUCAGCUUAGCCAAGGUAAUACUCAGGCCUUCUCUCAUGUCCACCGGAGCGUUCAAUGGUGUUGACAAGUCAAACCCUUGAAGCAGCCGACCAAUCACCAAGGGUAACAAUUUUAAGGCCAUGGUGAUCCCUGGGCAAGAUCUUCUGCCAGAACCAAAUGGGAUGAGCUCAAAAUGCUGCCCCAAAACAUCUAAAUCUGCAUGGCUCGUCAGAAACCUUUCCGGCUGAAAAUCUUCAGGGUCGGACCAGACACUUGGGUCACGGUGCAACUUCCACGCAUUCACGAACAAGCGGGUGCCUUUUGGAAUGUGGUAGCCAGCAACAUGACAGUCUUCCAUGGCUUCGUGUGGCACAGAUAGAGGAGCUGCUGUGUAUAGCCUCAGGGUUUCCUUGAUAACGGCUUGAAGGUAAAGCAGGUUUGGAAUAUCCGAUUCUUCCACCCACCUGCCUCUACCAACUUUUAGAUCUAGCUCCUCUUGAGCACGCUUCAAAGCAUGUUUAUUGUUUAAUAAUGCAGACAGAAGCCAUGUGGAGGUUGUAGCCACAGUCUCAGUGCCUCCCACUAUGAGAAUCUGCAUAAGUUUAAAAUUGUAGAAAUUUACCAAAAAAAAUUGAAGCUAUGACCCAAAUGCAUAAAAUAGCUUAAAAAAAAACAAAAAAACUGGAGAUCUUGAAAAAUAUUCAACAUUACUUGAAAAACUAACUUCUUGUCCAAUUCCACAAUUAUAUAUAGAGUAAGAAAGAAGAUAAAGAAAAAUAUGACAUAUAAUUCUCAUUGAUUGAUGAUAAUGGAUGUUAAUAUACAAAUGUAUUUGAGUUAUACUAUAAUUCAAAUUUUGUCUUCUACUCUAAUUCAAAUUCUAUAUUCUAUUCUAAAUAAAUGCUAAUAUUUAAAUUAAGAAUAAUAUUAACUUUCUCUAAUAUGCUUUACAAGAUGGAGCUCCUAUUAGAGAUUCCAAUUUUAGUCUUAAGAGAAAGAAAAUAGAUUACGAUGCAUUUAGUUUUUGUGGAUGGUGGUCUCUCUAUUCUCUAUUUUUGUGUAGGGCAAUCUCUCUGAAUCUAAGCGACGAGUAGAUUCGACUUGGUAGUUGAAAGAUUAGGUAAGAGUAGUGGGAAGAACUUGGAGAAAGAAAGCUUGUUGAAGGAAGAAUAGGAUUAGGAGCCAUGGAUGAAAAUUUUGGAAAAAAAUUGACGAAAUUUCGUGUUUUGGCAAGGGGCGAUACAAAAAGGGGAAGAAAUAUUGGAAAAAAUCUAUGAAAAUCACUAAAAUAUCGGUUAGGGCCGAUUAAUGGAUGACUUUUUAAGAAAAUUGCCCAAGACACCAAAAUAUUACCGAUAUUUCGACCAGAAAAAACGCAGAUUUUUUGGGCUACUAUAAGUGUGACACUCGAACCCAUAACCCAAAACCAGUGCACAUAGCCUACUUACUGGUUACCACUGGGAUAAUUUAUCUCUUAGAACCCGUUUGGUAGUGAUUCUAGUGGAAGUGUUUUUAUUUGAAGUGUUUUCUGCUAUAGUGUUUCUGUGAAAAACACUUUUAUGAUAAUCAGAAAAAAUGAUUUUAAAGUGUUUUUGAUAAUAUAUUGUAUAAAUAUAAAAACACUUUUAAUAUUAAUAAAUUACCAAAAAGGACAUACAAUUUUAAUUAAAAAAAAAUGGUAUGAUAAACAAAAAAAAACUUUUUAUUAAUGAAAAAACAUCUAAAUCACUAAAAAAAAUAACAUUGAAUAAAAGAUAAUUUUAAAAUUAAAACAAUAUAUGAUUACCUAUUAAUUUCUAUAUAAAAAAAAGACUUUUCUAAUUAAAAAUAAUAAUUUUUUUUAUCACUAUACUAAAAUUUUAAAAAAUAUUUACAAAAAACAUCUAAAUCAAUAAAAAUAAAAAGAUUGAAUAAAAGAUAAUUUAAAAGUAAAACAAUAUAUGACCACCUAUUAAUUUCUAAAAAAAAAAAAAAAAAUUUCUAAUUGAUUUAUCACUGGGGGCAUUUUUGGAAUAUUUCAAAAAAAUUGAAGUGUUUUUUUUAAAAAAACACCUGUCAAGUGAUUCUCUAAAAAUCACUUCAAGUGUUUUUCCAGAUUUUCAAAAGUGUUUUUUAAAAUUUGCCAAACACUUUGUUUUCAUCCCAAAAACACUUAAAAGUGUUUUUAAGGGUAGAAACACUUUUAAAAAUCACUGCCAAACGGGCUCUUAGUAUAUGAUGUGUACUAGAAGAAUAUAUAAUAAGAUAGUGAUAAAAACAAAAUAUUUUAAUAAACAAAUUAAUUCUAAUUAUUUUAUUUUUAAAUUUAAUUUAAUUGACCAUUAAAAAUAUAAAAAUUACAGUGAUAAUUUUCUUAACUUUUUUUAUAUCAUUUAUAUAUUAAUUAAAUAUAAAAAUAUAAAUAUGAAAAAAAUUUAUACAUAUAUCAUCAUUUAUUUUAUAUCAUUUAAUACAAUUAAAUUAAAUAAAUCAUAAUUUUAAUAUUAAACAUAUUAUAAUUAAAUAUCACAAUAUUAUUGUGGAAUAAUAUUUGAUGUAAUUUAAUAAUAAAUGUACACUUAUAAAAUUCAUAUUUUUUAUUGACACAUACAAUAUUGUUAUCAAAUAUGAUAAAUUAUAUUUUAUAUAUAUAUAUAUAUAGAUAUAUCAAAUUCUUAAACAAAACAAAUUUAAAAUGUCUAUUAUAUUUUUAUGAGAUUUUUCUUACAUUUUCAUGAGUUUUGAUUAAUUUUAAGUUUAUCGAUAUUUAUUCCCAAAAUAUCCAUCGAUAUAUUGAAUACAUUGGCGGAAUCAAAGUAUCGAUAUAUCAAUGAUUAUUGAUAUUUUCAUCAAUGUAUUUGACAUCAAACUAUAUAAUGGUUUAGAAGCUAAUGCAAUAGAUGAUAUAAGAGGUAAAUGAGAAGACAAUAUAAGGCAAAUCUCAAGUAGAGGCAAAGGAACAUGAACAUGUUUGUUUUCCCAAGACAUGUAAAAAAACAAUCAAAUCUUUGAGAAAGCUUUUAGAGAAACAGAGAGAGGUAGAAUUGAAGGUAAUAAAGAAGUACAUAUUAAAUUAGAGGAACCAAUACUAAUAGGAAGUAAAGGAAAAGAAAAUUAUGGUAGGUUUGAACCAGAAAAAUUUGGGGCUCUUGAUUAUAAAGAGGUGUUGAAAUCAAGAUAUUGCAUUGGAGACAGUAAAAAAAGAAGCAUUUAAAAUAGGAUAUUACAUUGGAGACCAUAAGGAAGGGAUUAUUGACAAUAGAUACACAUAACAAGGUCACUACCAUUUGUGGUAGAUAUAGGGGGAGACGUGCAGGGCCUAAGCCAUACCAUGUAGAGAAAAAAGAAAAUAGAGGAAAAUAUAACAUAUUAUUUUCAUUAAUGACAAUGAAUAUUUAUAUAAAAAUACAUAUGAAUUGUAACAUAAUUCAAACUUCAUCUCAAAAUAGAUAAAUACCAAUAUUCUAUUCUAAUUCAAACUUUAAUUCAAACUAAUAACAAAUUUCUACUCUAAUUCAAAUUUUAUAUUCUAUUUUAAUUCAAAUUUUAUAUUCUAUUCUAAUUCAAACUAAUAUAUAAUAAAUAGAUAAAUACCAAUAUUUAAAUUAAGAAUGACAUUAAUUUGGAUUGUCCCCAUGUCACUUGACUCAAACCAUGGAAAAGAGGGGCUAGAAACAAAUUCAGGAACCCCCAUGUUCAAUCUAUAGUGUACAUACCAUCCCAUGUUAUUCCACCACAAUCUCAAUCCAAUUAAGCAAACAACUUGCAAAAACUAUUUUAAGUGAUAUAUAUAAUGACCAAAGAUGCAGAGUCGUCGGAUGGAAAACGUAUUCAUAUCAUUAUUUUGACGACUAUAAAUGAAAGGGACGAGAAAAAAAAAAAUGAACCUAAAGGGUUUUUAUAUAGAUUUUUUUUUUGUUUACUCUCUCUUUUAUAUACCCGUCACCAUGCAUAGGUUCAGUGAAUCCCACCCAGCAAUUCCUAUCUAGUGGCACAUGAGGACAAUGCCACGUAUAGUGAUGGCGACAGCUAAAUAUUUUCCAUACUCCACCUCGCCCCAUGGCCCCAUCCUGAUAGAUGGGUUUUAGGAAAUGCUAUUGGGUUGAGGUCGAUUUUUGCAUCUUACUUUAAAGUAAAUUUGUGAAAAUUUAUUUAUUUUAUUUGAAUUAAAAUAAUUGAAAAUUUUAAUAAAAAAUUUGUAUACCUUAAAUUUGUAUUAUUUGUAAAGGAUUUUUCUAUGUUUUUUUUUUGUUUUUUUUUUAAUUUUACUUUUAAAGUCGGUUGCAAAAAUACACUUUUCCAAGAAAGAAGAAGCAGUUCAUGGAUAGGGGAGGAGCGUACCACUAUUGUUGCCUUGAUGACUGUUUCCCUUGAAUGGCCAAACAUGGAAGUGUCUUCAAGCACCGAUAGCAUCACAUCAAUGAAAUCCUGCAUCCUGCUGCCCUCGCUGUUGAGCCUAAUCUCAUGUUCUUCCACCCAACCUCCCACAAGAGAGUCCACUUCCUUCGCCACCCGCUUCAUCGACCCCAAAUACCCUUGUAAAUCCAUCCAUUCUACACCUGGAAUGGCAUCCGACAAAACAAAGGCCCCCGAUAGAGACAGGAAUUCCUGAAUUGUUGCUAUGGCCCGCCUUGCUUCCUCGAUUCCAUGGCCAGAAGUAUUGAAAUACCUCUUCCCUGCGAUCAUCUUUAGGACUAUAUUGAAGCUGAGGUGUUGAAACCAUUCACUCAUCACUACCUUUACUGGAUGGACCCAGUCGCUGCCUUUUCCAAGUGAGUAUAAAUCUUUAAUGGAAAGAUCCAAUUCCGAAAUCUGCACAUGCUUUAAUGCAUCGAGGCGACGGGCUGAGAGGAUUUCCAUCAUGGACAGCUUGCGCAUCUCACGCCAAAGGGCUCCAUAAGGGGCGAAACCAAAUCCAGCGUAGUUGUAUCCUAAGAGCUUUCCUGCACUGGAACUUGGGCGUGAGGCAAAGACCUUAUCAUUAGUGGUGAAGCAUUCUUUAACAGCCUCACGACUGCUCACCACAAGUGCGCGGUGCACUCCAAGGCGGAUCAUGAAGACGGGGCCGUGCUUAUCAGCCAUGGCUCCAAGGGUUCGGAAUAUUGGGGUUUGGCCUCGUAGUAGAGGAAGGUGACCUAGAAAUGGCCAGGCACCAGAUGGCUCUGGGGCUGACCUGCCCUUGCUCUUCCCAGCAAGAGUCAUAACUCUCCAUACACCAUACAACAAAACCAACCCCAGAAUUCCUGAGAUUGCUACUAACUGAGAAGGGGUAUCCAUGUUGGAUUGUCUGAGACUCUGCUGAUUCACUAUUUAGGUUCAAACUGGUAGCUAGAACUUUCCUCCUUCUUCCUCCCUCUAGACUUCUUUUUAUUUAUUUAAAUAUUGUUUAAUUAUUAAAUUCAUUAAUUUCAAUAGGAACAGGUCAAGCAUCCGUUAACUAUAAUAAUAUAAUAUAUCUAUGCACAAAGCCCAAUAAUUGAAUAUCAUACUAUUGCAGCAUCCAACAGCGUGCCCGGCCCACCCGGUCGGUUCUGGUAGAACCGCUCCCCUUUCGCACCCCCAAAAUAAAUUAAAUAACACCAAACACAGUUUCUUUAUGUUACAGAGUAUAACUUUGAGUUCUGUGCUAAUUCAGGCCUCAAUUUUUUACUUAAAAAAAGAUGUUUGGUAAAUCAAGUUAAUGAUUUAAUAUAAGUUAACAAUUUAAUUUAAGACAUUAAAUAUAUUUAAUAAAAUAAUUUAAUAUUUUAAUUUAAAGUUAAAAAUACUUUAAGUAUUAAGCUAAAAUAGUUAAUUUAUACCCAAUCUUAAAUACUUUUUUUUAUCUUAUUUAUCUAUAUUAGUGAGUAUAUUUUAAAUUAUAAUUCCACAUCCAUGAUUUAUUUUAUAUAAAAAUAUUUUAUAAUUAUUUUAUGUAUCUAUGAUACUUUAAAUAUGAAUAUUUAUAAAUAAAUUUAUAACUCAAAAUUAAUGAAAUGAAUAUGAGGAUAAAUAUUAGUUAAAUUAUAUAAAUGUAUCAAUUUGAUAAUUUAGAAUAAAUUUUAAUUGAACUUUAUCAAAUAACCUUAAUAGUUAAACUAAAAAAUAAUUAAUAAGUUUUAAGUUAACAACUUAAGAACAAUUUAACUUAAAGUUAACUUAAAUCAUUAAGUAAUUAAUAAGUAUUAAGUUUUAUCAAACACCCAUUUAAUCAUUAGAAGGCCAUGAUUGAGGUUAGCUCUAUAUAGGCCUUAGUGUAGGUUUUUAACAAGAAGAACAUAUCAAUCACUAUUUUAGAAGAGAACAUUAUUGGACUACAUCAUUGGAAUUCCCAACAUCAGAUAUCAAGCACCAAUAUAUAUAUAUAUAUAUAUCUAUAUGUGUGUGUGCACGUGCAUGCGCGCACAUGUGCAAAGAUGUUGUCCAACAGCUAACAAAUUUUUUAUCAAGGAUCUUGAUCAUAAACUCAAAUAUUUGUGUUGAGUAAUGGUUCACUUGUCUUCCAUGGAUGAGCAUUUCAUCACCACAUAUCCUACAUCUUAGAAGCCUUACUUAGUUGUCUUAUAUAUCUAAAUAAGUUGUAUAUUUGUCAAAAUUUGAAUGACAUUUUGUUUGAGAGAAAAAUUGAGUCUAGUUAAUAUUAUUGGAACCAAAUUGCAACCAUAAUCAACGUGCAUUUUUAAAUAAAAUUAGUUUCAUCUUAUUCACAGCAAGUUGAGUAUUAUUAUAAACACCCAAACUCGUUUUAAGGGAGAAUAUUAGGAGAGAUAAAAUAUAUUUUAAUAUUCUUUACUUUUAUAUAUAUAUAUAUAUAUAUAUAUAUAUAUAUAUAUAUAUAUCUUUUUAUACCAAUAUGUAAAGAGUAAUGAUUAGGAUCCAUUGCUUUAUUAGUUAAUCAGAAGCUGUUAGGGCUUAGUUUACACAUGCCAUUAACAUAACCACUAUACUUUUAGUUAGUGAGAAACCCAUUAGGUAAUAACUUUGUACUUAAGCCUCUUUGUUCAACCUUCAGAAUCAAAAGAAAAAUACAGAUUUAAAAUAUUGGUAUUAGUUCUUUCUUCUUCAGCUUUUUAAGAUGAUAUAAGAGCAUUCAAUUCAUGCAAUGGAAAGUUCAUUGGCAACAACCAUAUGAAGUACUUCAAGUUUCAAUCUAGUUUCAAUUUCUUAUCUGAAGACAAGAGAAAAAGCUUAAUUCUUUUUCUAUUUCAUCUUGUUUUUGCUCUUGCAGCCUUUUGUAUUUUAAUUAUCUUCAUGAAGGUCUAAGUUCAUGACGUAAUCUUCACAUGGGGCUGCAACAUUCUAGGAUAAUGUUAAGGGUUGGUAAUUAUCAUUUUUGAAUGUCAAUUUGACCUUUUUAUGUAUGUUGUAAGAGUUGGGCCUUAAGUAGGUGUUUAUUUUAAACAAACAUGUUUUAGGUGUUUGAUUAUAACCGGAUGUAUUUUGAAUGACAUAUUAAGGGGUGUUCAUUUUUUUGGCGUCAGUGCCCCUCCCAACCCUGAGUCUUUUGCUUGUUGAAAAGACUUAGGGCUUGUUCUACCAUUUUUAAUGGAUCCUCCGAACCAUUUUUAAAUGCACGACAAUGGGAGCAUGCAUGAAUUGUGAUGCAUAAUUCACACUGUAUGAAAGAUCUAGUCUCGUGAGGGUUAGGUACUGUAAAGCACCAACAAGUCCUCUAAAAUAACUCGGAUCUUCUAACAAGACAUUAUUUGAUGAUGUCCUGGUUUUGGCUUCAAGAGGUGUGCUUAUAGGCUUGCAAUCGACCAUAUUGGCUCUCUCAAGGAUAGUAACAACAUAGUGAGAUUGGGAUAAGUGAGGACCAUCAAAUAUUUGAGAAAUCUCGAUGCCAAGGAAGUGAUGAAUUUGGUCCAAGUCCUUCAUCGCAAAUUCAGAGCUCAAAAGUUGAAUGAAGGUUGAUACUAGAGCUAUGGAGGAACCUGUGAGGAGUAUAUCAUCUACAUAAAGUAAGAGAAUUAGUGUUCCAAGGUUAGAGUGAAAAAUAAACAAAGAUGGGUCACCAAAGAGUGUGAAUUCAAGUAGGGACCAUUGAGACCCAUAAGGAAAUAUUAGCCCCCUCAAAAUCCAAUUCUAAAGUUAACUCGAUAUUCCCUUAAAAAGAGUCAAUUGCACUCUAGUAUCCUAUGAUAUUAGAUCAAUAUAGAAAACUCAGGUUUGUGAUCUAAUAUCCAUUGCAUGCAAGUGCAUCAUAAACCAAUGUCCGUAAUCCAAUAAGGUAGUAGCAAUUGACCUUUUAGGAUUAGUUCUCAAUCCUUGAAUCUCAAAUCCUCCUAUAUCAUGAUCAACAAACAUGCUCUCAUCUAUGGAAGACAUAUGUCAAAUCCACUUAAGAAAUUUCUAUGAUCAUAGACUAUAUGAUCAUGAAAUCUUUAGGAUCAUCCAAUAGGACAUAUUGUCUCACACACAUGAGAUAUCAUGGUGCGUCUAUUGAGAAUGAGAAGUUUCCAAAUCAAUUUCGUUCAAAGAAAAACAAAUUUGCAACCAUUAGAAGUUUCAUCUACCCAUGAUCUUCCAACCAAUAGCUCUUCCUUAUUCCUUAGCACAUAAACAAUAAGGGGUUUGGGAGGGUGGAGGCUAGGGUUUUCUCUCUCUUUGUGGAUGGUGGAAAAAGACAAAAACUUAAAACUUUAACCCCUAAGGAGGUAUUUAUAGUUUCCCUAUUGGGUUUAAGUGACUUAAGCCCGCCAAAGACUUAAGUCACUAAAUCUAGACAAAAAAAAAUCAUAAUUUAUUAAUUAACCAAACAAGAUUGUCCAAUUAAUCAAUUAACCCAAUCCAAAGAUAUUGUUCACUAAUCCAUAUGCAAUCUUAUGAAAUUACCAAAACGUCCUUAGGCACAUAAGUGAACUAAGAGUAAAUCCAACCCUCAUAAACUAUGCUAAUAAGCUAUAUAAACUCAAGUGAGGACUAAUGGGACCUAUAAGACAGUACUAGUUCUCUUAAAAUCCAAUUUUGAAGCUGAUUCAACAUCCCAUUAUAAAAAAUUAACUAUACUCCAGUACCUUAUGUAAAUAACUACGAUAUGCUAAGUGAUCAGAUCUAUGACCUGCUAUUUGUUGUAUACAGUCUCUUUAUGAACUAGCAUUCGUAGUUUAACAAAGUGAAAUCUAUUAGCUUCUCAAGAUUACUUCUACUAUUCUUGAGUUAUUGAUCCUCCUAUUGUGUGAUCAUCUGACAUAUGUCAACUCACAAAGAGCUUAUGUUGAGUUCCACUUGAGGAACUACUAUGACUAUAGUUUACAUGAACACAUCUCCUUAGGAUCAUUCAAGGGGACACAAUAUCUCAAUCACAUGAGAUGUAAUGGUGUCUCUAUUGAAAAUACCUAUCAUUGUCAGCUUCCAUCAACGAUAACUCAAUCCAUAAGGAAUAUAUAAUCACUUUAGGAUCUUACUCAAAGGUCAAAGCCACUACUAACUUCAACACAAGUUCAAUAUUCUUUCAAGGUUGAAAAACAAUACAACAUAGCAACUUAGUGAAUUUAUGACUAAUUGGUAGUCUUAUGUCAUGAUUCACCAUAGGUCAUGUCCAAUGUGUAACUACACACACUAGUGUACUAACCAUGAGAAUUUCAUCUCGAUGACCAAGACUAGUCAUCCCUCCAAUUAAGAGAUAGUGUAUUAUAACCUCUGAUGGGUUACUUAAGCUCACGAGCUAGUUGUGAACAAGUCAUCUAUUUGUAAGGAACCCAUGACUUGGAUCUUCCAUGAAAAUCCUUAUGCACCCAACUCAUGUAUAAUGGAAGAGAUGCAAGCCAAAAUACUCAUAAAGUACAAUGUAUGGAAUGAGGAUAAAUAAAAGUGAAACUAGAAAUUUAUUAAUAAAUAAUAAACUCCAAAUUUUGUUACAUCAUAUCAUGCUUUGGAGGGUUCUAUCCUAAUAAGAAAUAUAUGACCUCAACCAUAAGGAAUAUAUGAUCACUUUAGGAUUUCACCCAUAGGUCAUAGUAACUAAUGACCUCAAGAUUACCAUAAUAUUCUCUCAAGGUUAAGAACCCAUGCAAUAUAGUAGCUUGGAAAAGUUAUAACAACUCGAUAGCCAUUAAUCAUGACUCUCUGUAGGUCCCAUUCAAUGUAUAACCAACACACUAGCACACUCAUCAUGGAAAACUCAUCCGGACAACUAAAAUAAGUCAUCUAACCAAUUAAAAAGUAGUGUAGACUGUGGCAUUAGAUGGAUUGCCUAAGUUCAUGAACUAACUGUGAACUAAUGAAUCAACUUGUAAGAAACUCAUGACUUGAAUCUUCCGUAUAACUCCUAAUUCACUUAAUUCAUGUACAAUACAAGUUAUUAGGCCAUAAUGCUAAAUAAAUCAUAAUGCAAGAGUGUGAUAGUAAAUUGAAACUUAUAUCAUAUGUAAUGAAAUUAAAAUGUUAUAUCAUGUUACUACUUUUAAGAAAAUAAUUCUUAUUUGGAAAGUAAUUGCAUGAAAAUUUAUUUCAAUAAGAUUUACCAAAAACAUAUUUUCCUAGAGAAACUUAAUUAUAUCAUGUUACUGUUUUUGUUGAAAUAGAGUCUCUUACUAUUUUUAAUGAACUCUCUCAAACCUAAGAACAAGACGGAGUAAGUCAAUCUCCCAUUAAGUAAAAAAGAGACCAAGAAGGCAUAGAGCAUUAUGUUAUAAAACAAGAAAUGGGCAAGGACAAUAGUGAAUUCAUAGUCGUUAACCUACUUGAGUCAUAUGUUGGCUCUCAUAGCCAAGACCAAGUUGAUUUCCUUGGAGCCAAAAAAGUUUUGAAAACAAGUUUUGAGGCUCCAAAAGAAAAAAGAAAAAAAAUUAUUGCAUAUUUCCAAUUUAAACAACCCAUACCCACUUUCAAAAUAGAAAGUAACAGCGAAAGAAGACAUCCCAUAGUGUAGGGUGAAUCUUCCCUUUUUGUGGAGAAACUAUGGGAUUACAAAUCUCAUGUUCUCCAAGCCAUUGGGUAACUUACCUCUCCACGUUUGGACCUAUAUUUACCAUACUUUUGAUUGCCUAAAAAUAAAAAUGUUGAUUUAAAACAUUUGCCACCAAAAAAGAAAAAGAAAAAAAAUAGAUAUAGAGUAGGAUUUUCUCCAUUGACAUCUUUGAUAGUUUUUUUUACAAGUUUUUUUUUGUUAAUGUGUGAGUUUAGAAUUAAGGAUUGCAAUCAUGGAGAAAAUGAUGAGCUUGCAAGGUGUUGUGCCAAGAACGAGUUUUUAGCAUCUUCUUUCACUUCUUUUACUCACUAAUAGAGGUAAUAAUCCUUUUCAUUCUCCCUUUCAAUCUUUUUUGUGUAUCAUGCUAUAUUUCUCAUUCUCUUUCAAACAUUAAAGACAAUGUUCAUUUUAGGUUGAGGAGAGAAGGAAAAUGAAAAAAAUAAAUAAAUAAUUUGAUUAAAUUGUUAGAUGCAAAAAUAAGUUUAUAUUUUUUAGAAGGUAUUGUCAUUCUAGGUAGUAAUUUUUCAUCCUAUGGUUAACUUGAAGCAAAAUAUCUCUUGUUUUCCUAAGAAUGAAAUUCUAAGCUACAUUGGUCAUGCAACAUGUACACUAAGCUCUAAUUGUAGGUUGACGAUUUACACCUUUGACUUGUGAAUUGUUAGACUCUUGUGCACUUGAAUUGCAUUGAUAUAUAUAUAUCUAUAUAUAUAUAUAAGUAGGGACAGUUUGUAAAUUAUGAGAGAAGAAAAAAGUGAGAAAAAAGUGAAAAUUUAUUGAAAAUAUGAUGAAAAAAAGUAAAAAACAAAAAGGGGGUGAAGUGGAAAUUUUGUCUUAAAGCUUGAGCAGUUCUAAAAGGUGACUUUAACAAAAUCCUUGGAAGACUAAUGCCUUAAGCAAAUUGGUUGGAAGUCAUCAACCUCUAUGCUUACUAUGUGGGUUGAUGAGUGAAGUUUAUCAUUUGUAUGAUGUUAUUGUUUUUGCCUAAGCUCGAGAUGAAACCUAAGGGGUGACAUUUUCAAGGUUCUUGCAAGCCUAAUGCUUUGAGUCGAUUGGUCAAGAAGCAAUAGUAAAUUCUCACUACACAAGCCAUAUAGGAAGAAACUAUAACAUUCUAGACCCCACUAAAAAAAAUAAAAAAGGGAAAAAGUUAAAAAAUAAAAAAUAAAAAUAAGAAGAAAUGAAAAAGUGUAUCAUAAUCAUGUAGAUAAGAGUAUAGCAACAAAUUGGUGGGGGUUGUUAAAGAUUAUAAAUACAGUUGGAAGCUAGUAAAAUUAACACCCAAUGAUAGUUUGGAAAUGCCAUUAAGGAGACUAAGAAUUGAGAGCUUCAGUUAAACUUAAGGAUCCAUUUCUACUACUUAGUAUGACAUACUUCUCUCUUAUAGAAUAAUAUGAGCUGAUUAAAGGUUACUAACCCGAAAAAAUUGAAGCAUGUUUUUCUCAUUAGUUCAUGCUUUAAUUUAGGUAUAGUUUUAUCACUUUCCUUGCUAAGAUCUAGCAGUACGUUAGGUGGGAGCUAUGAUUGAUAUGAAAUUUCUCAUUAUUAUCAUAGUUAAACUAUGCAAACUCACGGCCAUAUAUUUACAAUAGCACUCAAUAUAUCAUGUUUUCGCAAUAUAAGGUGUUUUGAUCGGUUUAUAUGAGUUUUGCAAGAAAAUAUGUCAAAAAAGAACUUAAAUGAAACACUUUGGAAUUGUGACCUAAGAAGGAAGAGGAUUUAAUAUUCCAUGAAUUCCCUUCAAAAACCAUAAAAAGAAAAUAUGAAGAAAAGUUAGAUCAUUAAGUUUCCCAAUAGGCUAGCCUAGAAAAGAUUAGGCUUGCUAGGCUAGAGCCUAAUAGCCAAACAACCACCCUCUUUUGCAAUUUUAAGUUUAUUUCAUCCUUUAAAUUUGAUCAACACCUAAUUUAAUCACCCCAAGGUUUGAAAUAUCGGAAAAUACGGAUAUAUCAAUACUUGGAUUUUAUAGAUAUAUCGGUACUUAGAUUUUACGGAUAUAUUGAAAAUAUCGGUGAAUAUUUUGAUAAAAAUAUCGAUCGUAUUCAAAAUUCAUGAAAAUGCUUAAAAAUAUUUCAAAAAAAUAAUAAAAUAAAGAAUAAUAUACAUAUUAAAGUUAUUUUGUAUGUGUAAUUGAUAUAAGUAUGAUUAAAGAUAAUAUUUAUCAAUUUUUUAUAAAAAAAAUUAGCUUAAAUUCCUUUAAUAUAUUUGUAUUCAUUUAUUUUAAAAUUUAAAAAAUACUUUUAUUGAAACAUGUUUUAUUACAUUUUAAAUAAAAAAAAUUAAAUUGAUUUAUAUAAAAUAUUUUAUUUGAGAUUUAAAAUAUUUUAUGCGCAUUGACAUUGUUUAUUGGUCCUGAAAAUCAUAUUGAGCCUCACCGAUAACCGAUAUCGACAAAAUUUCACCAAUAAAAAUCAACAUUUCAAUCAUUGAUCAGCCCUACCACCAACUAACAAUAAAAGUUAUAUAAUGUUUGUUUAGACGUAGAAUGGAUUCACUCUCGUUAAAGGAUCAAUUAUCAUGACAUUUUGUGAUCUUUUUGUCCAUCAAAUAUAUUUCUUAUUUUUUAUUUUAAAAAUCAAGAAAUAGUAAUAGGUUUUAUGUAAAAAUAGUUGUAACUUUUAUAUGAGUUAUAAGAGCUCUUGAGUUAUAUUAAAAAUUAAUGAUUUUAAAAACUAUUUAAAAACAAAGUGAGAUAUUAAGAAAAUUUUGAUAUCUGAAAAUUUAAAAUUUCUAUAACUAAUUUUUAAAAACAUAAGGAAAUUUUUUUAGUUUUGUUAGAGAAAUGUUUUCAAAAAUAAUUUUUUUAGAAUUGUUUUUUAAAACUAUUUGUUGAGAUAUUAGGAAUGCUUUCCUUAUAUCAUUAUUUCCUUAUAUCAUUUAGUGUUCAGAUAUUAGGAAUGUUUAGAUAUUAGGAAAGUUGACAUAUUAUGAAUAUUGAGAUAUUNNNNNNNNNNNNNNNNNNNNNNNNNNNNNNNNNNNNNNNNNNNNNNNNNNNNNNNNNNNNNNNNNNNNNNNNNNNNNNNNNNNNNNNNNNNNNNNNNNNNUAUGAAUAUUGAGAUAUUAGGAAUAUUGAGAUAUUAGGAAAGUUGAGAUAUUAGGAUAUUAGUUGUUAUUUCCUUAUAUCAUUCUUUCCUUGUAUCAUUCUUUCCCAUUCUUAGAAUGGCUAUUACCCUCUAUAUAUACUCUGUACAUGAACGAAUGAAAUCAUGAAUGAAAAAACUAUCAUUUAUCAAUUUGAACAUGGUAUCAGAGCCAUGGAACUGAAAUCCUGGAUAUUUUGUUGCUAUGGUAGUCCGACAGCGAUCAACCAUCCUAAAACAAGCCCUAAUAUUGAUAAGUCAACCUUCAAAUGCACUCACUGCAAUAAGACUGAUCCCACCAGUCUAGAUAUCCCACAAUUUCAAAGCAACGACUCUUGGUAUGACCAAGAAAAAAAUGAGGAACCGAGGGUUUGAACCAUGGACCUUUAGAUCAUGUUUAGGUUAUCAACACUUUGUUAUUAAUGAUAAUAAUCGUGAUCAACGAAAGAAGGAUUCCAAGAAAACCUCGACUGCAACUGUUGACGAAAUAAAAAUAGAGGCUAAUGUUGCUAAGAAAGCCUCUGCAUUGGUAGUCGCUACAGAUCAUGGUGGUAAGUUUUUAAAUACUUUUACACCUGUUAUUAAUAGUGCAUGGAUAAUUGAUUAUGGUGCUACAGAUCAUAUGACUUUUGAUUCUAGACAGGUUUCACCCCUUAGACCUUCCUCACAAAAAAAAUUUUCCACAGCCAAUGGUAACACAACCCCAGUCAUUGGGGAAGGAUCCUUAACUCUUACUGAUACUUUGAAUUUGGAUUCUAUUUUAGUUGUUCCAUCUUUAGAUUACAAUCUUUUGUUAGUUUCUCAAAUCACUACAGCCUUAUCUUGUAUUGUCAUUUUUUAGCCUGAAUUUUGUGUGAUUAAGGACAUCCAAACAAGACAGACGAUUGGUUGUGGUAUUAAGCGGGGAAAACUCUAUUACUUGGACUUGCAGUCAAAAGAUUCAAAUAAGUUGCAACAAGCCUUGAUGGCAGAUGGAUUUGAGGGGGAGAAGAAAAAAUAUGAAAUUUGGUUGUGGCAUUGACGUUUAGGACAUGCUUCCUUUGGUUAUUUAAAAAAAUUGUUUCCUAGUUUGUUUGCAAAGAGUGAUAUUUCUAGUUUCCGUUGUGAUAUUUGUGAAUUGACUAAAAGCCAUCGUGCUUCGUUUCUGUUAAUUUUGAAUAAAAGUCCGUUUCCUUUUAUGGUUAUACAUUAUGAUGUUUGGGGCCCAUCCAAAGUCCCAACUUUGAGUGGCUCACGUUGGUUUGUUACUUUUAUUGAUGAUUGUAUCAGAAUGACAUGGUUAUGCUUGAUGAAAACCAAAGAUGAAGUGAACUUGUUGUUUCAAAAUUUUCAUAAAGUGAUUGGAACUCAGUACAAUGCAAAGGUUCGGGUUCUGCGUAGUGAUAAUGGUGGAGAAUAUCAAAGUUCUGAUCUUCCAAAGUAUUUGGAAAGACAUGGCAUCCUUCAUCAAACUACUUGUUCCGANNNNNNNNNNNNNNNNNNNNNNNNNNNNNNNNNNNNNNNNNNNNNNNNNNNNNNNNNNNNNNNNNNNNNNNNNNNNNNNNNNNNNNNNNNNNNNNNNNNNUCUGAUCUCAAAAGUAUUUGAAAGACANGCAUCAUUCAUCAAACUACUUGUUCCGAUACACCCCAGCAAAAUGGAGUCUCUGAACGAAAAAAUCGGCACUUGUUAGAGGUUGUUCGUGCUUCCUUGAUAGCAGCAAAAACACCGAUAUCCUAUUGGGGAGAAGCAAUCACAUCUGUCGCAUACUUGAUCAAUCAGGUACCUUUCUAGCUCAAUUAACUUUCAAACACCUCUCCAAGCUCUUACUAAUGUCGUACUUGCCCCAACCGUCCCAAAUCUACCUCCUCGUGUUUUUGGUUGCGUGGCAUUUGUGCAUCUACACAAGCACCAACGCACCAAGUUAACUUCUCAUGCAUUGCAAUAUGUGUUUGUUGGAUAUGCAUUGCACAAAAAGGGAUAUCGAUGUUACCAUCCUCCAACUCGACGAAUGUUUAUUACAAUGGAUGUGGUGUUUCAUGAAGAUUCGAUGUAUUUUUCAUCUGAGUCUGAACUUCAGAGGGAGUACCAUAAGGAAAUUCAGACUCUUGAUUAUGAUUGUCAUAUCUUUGAGGAGGAGGAAUCCGGACAAUUUGAACUAGUGAACCAGGAAGUGGGUGAGUUGGAUAUGAGUGGUCAAUAAUUUGGGUCCGAAGAUGUUUUCACUGAAAUACCAAACCAAUCGUCGUCUAUUGAGGGUGUUCUUAAUUUGGAACCCGAUCCAUUCAUGAAACGGUUACCACACCGUCAUAAUAGAGGUAUUCCUAAACCCACAUAUGAACCUGAAUUGUCUACCAAAGUCAAAUAUCCCAUGAGCAACUAUGUGUCUAACCAUCGUUUAUCUGAAUCAAAUAAGUCAUUUGUAAAUCAAUUAUCUACUGUAGCUAUUCCUAACAGUGUGCAGAAAGCCUUAGCUGAUCCAAGGUGGAAAGCAGCCAUGAAUGAAGAGAUGAAAUCAUUGUAGAAGAAUGAAACAUGGGAACUCGUAGAAUGUCCACCAGGAAACAAGCCAGUUGGGUGUCAUUGGAUCUAUACUGUGAAGUACAAGGCAGAUGGUAGUAUUGAACGAUUUAAAGCAAGACUGGUAGCAAAAGGGUACACUCAAACUUAUGGAAUUGAUUACACAGAGACAUUUGCACCUGUAGCUAAGAUCAACACAGUUCGAGUAUUACUGUCUUUAGCUGCAAACCUAGAUUGGCCAUUACAACAAUUUGAUGUGAAAAAUGCCUUUCUGCAUGGCGAGUUAUCUGAAGAAGUAUAUAUGGAUCUUCCACCAGGAUGCAUGGUGUCAGAAAAGUAAUGUCAGAAGGUAUGCAAAUUGAAGAAGUCAUUGUAUGGGUUGAAGCAAUCCCCGAGAGCAUGGUUUGGAAGGUUCACAAAGUCAAUGAGAGCUUUUGGCUAUUGUCAAAGUAAUUCAGAUCACACUUUGUUCCUGAAAAAGCAACAUGGUAAGAUUACGACACUCAUCGUAUAUGUGGAUGACAUGGUAGUUACAGGAAAUGAUCCUGAAGAAAGAAAAGCUCUGUAAAAUUAUCUAUCUAGAGAAUUCGAAAUGAAAGAUCUAGGUCAUUUGAAAUACUUUCUUGGGAUUGAAGUUUCUCGAUCAAGUGAAGGAAUUUUUCUGUCUCAAAGAAAGUAUGCCUUAGAUCUUUUACAAGAGACUGGAAUGUCGGGAUGUCAACCUGUUAAUACACUAAUAGAAGAAGGUCUGAAAUUGUGUGUUGAGCCUAAUCAAGUAUCAACCGAUAAGGGAAGAUACCAGAGACUUGUGGGGAGAUUAAUGUACUUAGCUCAUACAAGACCAGAUCUUGCUUAUGCAUUGAGUGUAGUGAGUCAAUACAUGCAUAAUCCUGGAGAGCAACAUAUGAAUGCAGUCAUGCGUAUUUUGAGGUAUUUGAAGAAUGCUCCUAGGAAGGGAAUUUUGUUCACUAAAAAUGUUGAUCAUCGGAGUAUAGAAGUAUAUACUGAUGCUGAUUGGGCCGGUGCAGUGGAUGAUAGGCGAUCUACAUCUGGUUACUUUACCUUUGUAGGUGGUAAUCUUAUGACAUGGAAAAGUAAGAAGCAGAAUGUUGUCGCUCGUUCAAGUGCAGAAGCGGAAUUUAAAGGUAUGGCUCUAGGACUUUGUGAGGCAUUAUGGCUAAGACUCCUCUUACAAGAUUUAGGUUACCUAUCUAGGCAAUCAAUUCGAUUGUUUUGUGACAAUAAAGCCGCAUGUGACAUUGCUCAUAAUCCAGUACAACAUGAUCGUACAAAGCAUGUCGAGGUAGAUAGAUUCUUCAUUAAGGAAAAGUUGGAUGAUAAGAUUGUGGAAUUGCCUAAGAUUCGAUCAGAAGAUCAAUUGGCCGAUAUCCUUACCAAAGCUGUCUCAAGUCAAGUGUUCUCAAAAUUUUUAGGCAAGUUGGGCAUGUGUGACAUCUAUGCACCAACUUGAGGGGGAGUGUUGAGAUAUUAUGAAUGCUUUCCUUAUAUCAUUAUUUCCUUAUAUCAUUUAGUGUUCAGAUAUUAGGAAUGUUUAGAUAUUAGGAAAGUUGAGAUAUUAUGAAUAUUGAGAUAUUAGGAAAGUUGAGAUAUUAGGAUAUUAGUUGUUAUUUCCUUAUAUCAUUCUUUCCUUGUAUUAUUCUUUCCCAUUCUUAGAAUGACUAUUACCCUCUAUAUAUACUUUGUACAUGAACGAAUGAAAUCAUGAAUGAAAAAACUAUCAUUUAUCAAUUUGAACACUAUUCUCUAUUGUUUUAUGGAUACACAAUUUGAGAACUUAGUUUAUGUUUUUAAAUAACAUUUGUCUUGAUACUUUGUUUUUUUCACUCUUCAUAUUUAUAUAAUUAGUUUUUUUAAACAAUCCAAAGAAAAUAAAAUGAAAAUAAAUAAAAAUAAUUAAAAUGUAUUAUAAAAAAUACUUUAUUUUAUGUUUUUAAGAACAAAAAAUUUCUAACUAUCAAACAUGUUUUUCUAUUUUUUUAUUCAUAAAAAUAAAAAAACUAUUUUUGAAGACAGCUUCCAAACAUACCUUUAUUCUUCCAAACCAUUUUUCUAAUUAAAUAUUUAAAACUAAUUUCAUCUUUCCAUCAAAUUAUAAGAAUAAAGGUAAUUAAGAUCUGUUUCUAAACAGGAUUUUGAAAAUUAUUUUUAAAUAUAAUUAAAAAACAAAAGUGCUACCCAAUAUACUCUAAAUUAUAUAGAAAAGUUUUUUUUUUUCUCCAAAUUCAUCCAUUGCAAGCAUUGUUCGUUCAAAAACAAGUUUUAUAAAAUAAAUUAGCAAAAAUAUAAUUAGACCAUCCAUAUUAUUUAUUAAAAAAAAAUUGAACAUCCUUGUUUGAUUAAUCAUCAUUAUAUAGAAGAGAACAAUAAGAUAAAAGCCCUAGUAUUUCAAAAAUAUUUGUAGUUCCAUAUAAUUUUCUAAAUUUUUAACAUUCCUUUUCUUCAUCUUUUAUAAACAAGGCUUGGUCCACGUGCAAGGCAUGUGAAAGCUAGCCUGUAUUAAGAAAAUAGUCUUUUACUAUAUUUUAUUUUAUAACAAUUAUAUUUACCUAUUUUUAGGUUACAAUUAUAGUCCAAAUUAAAAUUAAGACAAAAAUAUUUUUAAAGUUUUGUUUGAUAUUAUUUUAUUUUAUUUUAUUUUUUAUUUAGGUUGAAUACUUAGUUAUUUUCUAAUUAUAAAAGUUAAAAAUAUCAUAUAAAUAGGAUUAUUAUUUUAGUUUUUUAAAAGUUUUAGGAAAUAUUGUGUUUAGGAAAUUGGAUUUAAAUAGAAUUAAUAGUUUGUUUGUUUUUUUUUUAUUUCUUAAGAUUUUUGGAAAAAAUAUUAAAUAAAAAAUAAAAUUACUUUGAAUAGAUGCCUAAAAAUAUUUUUAGAGAUAAGACUUUUACUAAAAACCGUAGACCCCAUUUUGGGGCUCAUUUUUCUUGCAUUUUCUAUGGCUCAUUUUUUGGCCAGGUGCUAGGAUUGGAGAUGGCCACGUGUCACCUUAUGGUUAGCUGCUAGGGAAUCAUGUUAAUGGAUAGAGAAUGCAAUGGGGAAGAGACGCCUGUUAGGGAAUAUUCUGAGAAAAUGUGCAGGCCGUUAAAGAGGGGAGUGAUUUGGUUGCUGUUACAGAGAUAUUUUUUUUUGACUUGGAGAGCAAGCUGGAGAGGGGAAAAAAGAGCGUAUUCAGUUUUUGGGGGGAGAUAUUUUUGGGUGAGCUGGUUACAGAGAGGCAAGAAUGAGAACUGGAGAAAGGAAGAUAGCCUGAGCUGAGAGUAGUGGAGAUUUUUUGGGUUAAGAGGAUAGAGAAGCCUAGAGAAGGAGAUUACCAGGAGAGGAGCGUAUUCUGUCAAGGUGGCUGGAGAUAUUUUGGUGAGAGGAAAGCUUGAAGAGCAAGCUGGAAUGAGAGGAGCGUAUGAUAGCUUGUGAAGCAAGGGAGUCUUUGGUUACAGAGGAGGUUUUUUGAGGAGGGGUGGUAGGGUUUCUGUGAGAGAAGCCUGAGAGGGUUUUCAUAGCAGAAAGAGUUAGAGGAGAAGAAGUUGAACCAUCUUCGCUUGAGGAGCUCAGGUAUGGCCACUACGACUCCUAGAAGAAAAUCAAUGGAGUCUCACCAUUGAGGGUUGCAACCUUGCAAUGAAAGAAAGUAUAAUAUUAUUCAUCAAAAUUCAUCCCUUUGAUUUACAUUGAUUAGCCUAUUUAUAGGCUUCUCUAAGAAAUUCAAAGUCUACUAGGACUCUAAUAACCUAUUCUACUAGGACUCUAAUAACCUAGUCUACUAGGACUCUAAUAACCUAUUCUACUAGGACUUUAAUAACCUAUCAUGACUCAAAUUCUAAUUAUAUUAAUCCCUUUCGUUUUGGAUUUCUUGGUUUUCUUUCCUUGCCCUUGUUGAUCUUAAGCAUCAUUUGUUGGGUUUUAUUGAACCUAAGCUCGCAUUACACUUGUUCUAUUUUGUUGUCUCUCAUACUCUUGAUCUUUUCCACUGGCGGGAUCCUCCAUUGGGUUUGAUGUUUGAUAGUUAUAUUGAGGAUUUCUAGUUCAUCCCACUUGUUUUGAUCCCAUGGAUCGAUCUUGAGAUGUGGCUUCAUUGGGUUUCUAUCUUUCAUGAUUGUUAUCUUCCUCCAUUCUCUGUUUUUCUUUCACUAUUUGCUUUUGCUCAAAGAGACACUCCAGUUUCCUGGUAACUGUUUCAUCAAUGUUUUGAAUGGGCAUAGAUUUCUGGGAGGGCAAAAAUGAGUAAGUUCUGUGUUAGAGGAAGCUCACAGGGUGUUGGGCUUUGUGGAGCCUAGUUUUGUUUGAUCCGGUUUGACGACCCGACCCGAAUAAUAUUGCAUGGCCUUUUUAAUGGGAGAUUUAUUGAGGCCUGUUGGGCCCGUUUAGCCCAUUGUGGAACUACCUUUUGUAAUUAGGGUUUUUUAGUAUGGUAGGGUUGCCGUGCUAUAUAUAUAUAGAGAAUAUUGUAGCCGCCAAGUUGUACUCUGUAUUCUUCCCUGAUAAUAGUGAUAUCCCUGCAACUCCGUGGACGUAGGCAAAUUGCCGAACCAUGUAAAUACUGUCUUGUGUGUGUGAUUGUUUUUCUUUGGCGUGUGUUUUCUCUAAUUUUUUGUUUCUCACGGGUUGGGAAUUAGGUUUAAUUCCCUACAACUGGUAUCAGAGCCUAGGGUUAGGUUUGAGUGGGAGCAAUGGCAGAGGAAGCAGGAAAGGCGUCUGGAAUAGAAAAGUUUGAUGGCACAGACUUUGCGUAUUGGAGGAUGCAGAUUGAAGAUUAUCUCUAUGGGAGGAAAUUACAUCUGCCUCUUUUGGGGACAAAACCUGAGACUAUGAAGGCUGAGGAAUGGGCGCUUCUUGACAGACAGGUUCUAGGAGUUAUUAGGUUAACUCUGUCUAGGUCUGUUGCACACAAUGUUGUAAAGGAGAAGACCACAGCAGAUCUGAUGAAGGCUUUGUCCGGUAUGUAUGAAAAGCCGUCCGCAAACAAUAAGGUGCAUCUGAUGAAGAAAUUGUUCAAUUUGAAGAUGGCAGAGAAUGCAUUAGUAGCACAACCUCUUAAUGAAUUUAAUACAAUCACAAAUCAAUUGUCGUCUGUAGAAAUUGAUUUUGAUGAUGAGAUUCGUGCUCUGAUCGUCUUGGCUUCUUUGCCAAACAGUUGGGAGGCAAUGAGGAUGGCAGUAAGCAAUUCUACGGGAAAGGAAAAACUCAAGUACAAUGAUAUACGAGAUUUAAUUCUGGCUGAGGAGAUUCGCCGAAGAGAUGCAGGUGAAACCUCAGGAUCUGGUUCUGCCCUAAACCUUGAGACAAGAGGUAGAGGUAAUAACAGAAAUUCAAAUCAAGGUAGAUCAAAUUCCAAAAAUUCUAAUCGGAACAGAAGCAAAUCUAGAUCAGGCCAACAAGUACAAUGCUGGAAUUGUGGGAAAAUAGGUCACUUUAAAAGGCAAUGCAAAAGCCCUAAGAAGAAGAAUGAAGAUGAUUCUGCUAAUGCUGUAACAGAAGAGGUACAGGAUGCAUUACUUCUUGCAGUAGACAGUCCACUUGAUGAUUGGGUUUUGGAUUCAGGAGCUUCGUUUCAUACCACUCCACACCGAGAAAUCAUACAGAAUUAUGUUGCAGGUGAUUUUGGUAAGGUAUAUUUGGCUGAUGGUUCAGCCUUGGAUGUUGUGGGUCUGGGAGAUGUCCGGAUAUCGUUGCCCAAUGGGUCUGUUUGGUUACUGGAGAAGGUUCGACAUAUUCCUGACCUGAGGAGGAAUCUGAUUUCUGUUGGACAACUUGAUGAUGAAGGACAUGCAAUACUAUUUGUUGGUGGUACUUGGAAGGUUACAAAGGGAGCUAGGGUAUUGGCUCGUGGAAAGAAGACUGGCACUCUGUAUAUGACCUCAUGUCCAAGAGACACAAUUGCAGUUGCUGAUGCAAGUACUGAUACAAGCCUAUGGCACCGCAGACUUGGUCACAUGAGUGAGCAAGGGAUGAAGAUGUUGCUGUCAAAAGGAAAACUACCAGAAUUGAAGUCCAUUGAUUUUGACAUGUGUGAAAGUUGCAUCUUAGGAAAGCAAAAAAAGGUGAGCUUCUUGAAAACUGGCAGGACACCGAAGGCUGAAAAAUUGGAACUAGUACACACUGAUUUGUGGGGGCCUUCUCCGGUUGCAUCCCUAGGAGGUUCAAGGUACUACAUCACCUUUAUUGAUGACUCAAGUAAAAAGGUAUGGGUUUAUUUUCUGAAAAAUAAAUCUGAUGUAUUUGUAACUUUUAAGAAGUGGAAGGCCAUGGUUGAGACAGAAACAGGUUUGAAAGUAAAAUGUUUGAGGUCAGAUAAUGGAGGAGAGUACAUAGAUGGAGGAUUCAGUGAGUAUUGUGCUGCACAGGGAAUUAGGAUGGAGAAGACCAUUCUUGGGACACCACAGCAGAAUGGUGUGGCUGAGCGCAUGAAUAGAACUCUCAGUGAGCGUGCUAGAAGUAUGAGGUUGCAUGCUGGACUACCAAAAACUUUUUGGGCUGAUGCUGUUAGCACUGCAGCUUACCUGAUAAACCGAGGACCAUCAGUUCCCAUGGAGUUCAGACUUCCUGAGGAGGUUUGGAGCGGUAAAGAGGUGAAGUUUUCACAUUUAAAAGUUUUUGGUUGUGUUUCUUAUGUUCAUAUUGAUUCUGAUGCUCGUAGUAAACUUGAUGCAAAGUCAAAAAUAUGUUUUUUCAUUGGCUAUGGUGAUGAGAAAUUUGGCUAUAGGUUUUGGGAUGAACAAAACAGGAAAAUCAUCAGAAGUAGAAAUGUGAUAUUUAAUGAACAGGUUAUGUACAAGGACAGGUCAACUGUAACGUCAGAUGUUACAGAGAUAGAUCAAAAGAAAUCUGAGUUUGUCAACUUAGAUGAAUUGACUGAAAGUACUGUCCAAAAAGGGGGUGAAGAAGAUAAGGAGAAUGUAAAUUCAUAGGUAGAUUUGAGUACACCUGUAGCUGAAGUUCGCAGAUCUUCCAGGAACAUUAUACCUCCACAGCGUUAUUCACCUGUUUUAAAUUAUCUCCUGUUGACUGAUGGUGGUGAGCCAGAGUGUUAUAAUGAAGCCUUGCAAGAUGAGAAUUCAAGCAAGUGGGAGUUAGCCAUGAAGGAUGAGAUGGAUUCCUUGUUGGGGAAUCAGACAUGGGAACUGACUGAAUUGCCAGUAGGAAAGAAGGCUUUGCACAACAAGUGGGUAUACAGAAUAAAGAAUGAGCAUGAUGGUAGCAAACGUUAUAAGGCCAGAUUAGUUGUUAAAGGGUUCCAGCAGAAGGAGGGCAUUAACUACACAGAGAUAUUUUCUCCAGUUGUGAAGAUGUCAACAAUUAGACUUGUACUUAGAAUGGUGGCUGUAGAAAACUUACAUCUUGAGCAGUUAGAUGUGAAGACAGCAUUCCUUCAUGGUGACUUGGAGGAAGACCUUUACAUGAUUCAGCCAGAAGGGUUCAUUGUUCAGGGACAAGAGAAUCUAGUCUGCAAACUGAGAAAGAGCUUGUAUGGCCUUAAACAAGCUCCUAGACAGUGGUACAAGAAGUUUGACAAUUUUAUGCAUAGAAUUGGGUUCAAGAGAUGUGAAGCUGAUCAUUGUUGCUAUGUUAAGUCCUUUGACAAUUCUUACAUCAUAUUACUGUUAUAUGUGGAUGAUAUGCUUAUUGUAGGGUCUGACAUUGAGAAGAUUAAUAAUCUGAAGAAGCAAUUGUCCAAACAGUUUGCAAUGAAGGAUUUGGGAGCUGCAAAGCAAAUCCUUGGUAUGAGAAUCAUUAGAGACAAGGCUAAUGGUACAUUGAAACUUUCACAGUCAGAGUAUGUGAAGAAAGUUCUCAGCAGGUUCAACAUGAAUGAAGCUAAACCAGUGAGCACACCCUUGGGUAGUCAUUUCAAACUAAGCAAAGAACAGUCACCGAAGACAGAAGAAGAAAGGGACCAUAUGAGCAAGGUGCCCUAUGCCUCAACUAUUGGCAACUUGAUGUAUGCUAUGGUGUGUACAAGGCCAGACAUUG